CGAUAUCGAAAACAGCAUUCAGAAGUCAGAACCACGAAUCAAAAGCAUUCAGAACCAGAUAAGUGAUCCAAAACUAAAAACUUUUGGCGGGUGAAAUUAUAAUUUUUGCCGCCUCCUUACAAUUUUUCACUCCCGCUAUAUCUCCCCAAAAUUAGUGGAAACUCCCACGACUCUUCCAGUUAUCCUUUCAAUUUUGUCAAUCAAUCCUUAUCGCGUUUAGAGGAAGAAAAAAAAGAAGAAGAACGCUGCAGUUAUGGCAAAGCAAAGACUCAAAAGGGCAUCAAGCUUCUCACGUCCUGAGUCAUCUGGUCUCCCUUCAAACCAAAACCGUCACAACGGGUCAUCGACUCACAACGAAACACAAGACAUGGAAGAGAUAGGUUCUGAGGCUUCACUAUCAGAAGAACAAGGCAUGGUGUAAAAACUUAUACAUAACAAAUUGUUAUCUCCGUUUGUUAAUUCCUUAUUGUUGUCAAUAGUGUCUGCAUGUCUGGUCAUUCUCCAAAAAAAGGUAGAGGGAAAGCCAAAGGUGAAAAAGGAUAUGGAAUGGAUUCCAAAAUCUUUCGAAAAAGUUUACACAGAUUGAUAAGACUGGAUUUGAACCUAGUCCAAUUGAAUGCUUCAAAAGGUUUCAUGUCUCUAAGGCCAAGAAUGAAGAGGCGGAACAUUGGAUUAGUGAGAAAGCUAAAGAUCUUUAUGUAUGUAUUUACAUCUUAGUUGGCUUAUGUGUUUGCUUGUCGUGAGGUUGUCCAAAUACUGACCCACUUCCCAACCCAUGGUCACCUACAGGCCGUAAGCUCUUGCUCACUUGUUUCUGUUUUAUAAUGUUCUGGUUUUGAAUAUUACAAUUAAAACUUGUUUUCUUUGAGCCCCUCAUACUUGUUUGGGCAUAUUGCACUAUGAAAUUUAUCUUUUUCACAUCAAUCAACUGGUGCCCAUAUUAAGGUGUGGGUUUUUGUCUAUAUGUUAAUUCCUCAAGUAUGUAGAAGUAGAAAAAAGUAUAUUCAAUAGUAACAGUUGGUAGUAAUGUUUGCUUAUAAUUUUGUUCAAGGAAACUAUGCAUACUCAAAACAGGAUUGAAGAGGCAUUCGGUGAAGAAGGUGAAGAAGUAGAUGAAUGGGGCAUAUAUAAAGCUGUGAUUGGAGGGCCGAGUCACGGCAGAAUUCGUGGCUUAGGUGAUGGCAUGAUACCACCUGAAGAUGAAGAGAAUAUGUGGACUCUUCUAGCCACACUUGCAAUAAGCGUACGUGCUUGGCGCGUGAGAAAGAAUUUGAACAAGUGAACGAGAAAGUUACAACUCUUACCAACCAACUGGAAGAUUUGAAGCAAGUGGUUAUGACUUUGCUAUCAAAAAACUCAAGUGAUUCUGAAUGCGCAACAGAAGCACCCUCUACGGGAAAUACCACAAAGAGUUCAGAUGCAAAUCAUGAGGACAAAUGAUAGCUGCAAGAAAUACUACUUUGUUGCUAUUUGCUAAUGUUAAAUAAGUACUAUAUGUUUAUGUUCUAUUUUUAAUUCCCUACUAGUUUUACGCUUAUGGUUGUUAUAACUUUUCCUGUUUUGUAAGACUUGAUGAUGAAUAUCUUGUUUCAAAUAAAAUAUGGCUUAAUCUUCUUUA